rnacentral:lncRNA from 1 species
UUCCACCUGGCAAAUCAUUUCUUCCCAAAUCUUUCACCCUUUCUCCCUGACGUAAACCUUUUCUCAGUGCUUGCCAGGGAGUUUUGAAAAAAAAAACCAAAAAAAGAAAAAGAAAAAGCUUGUUAACAAAAAUACAGAGAGCUUGUUGAAAAAAAGAAGAAGAAAGAGUCAAUCUCACUGCAUCAGCAUCAUGCAUACGUC